rnacentral:rRNA from 1 species
GACGAACGCUGGCGGCGUGCUUAACACAUGCAAGUCGAACGGUGAAGGGACUGGUUUUGCUGGUCCUGGAUGAGUGGCGAACGGGUGAGUAACACGUGAGUAACCUGCCCCCUUCUUCUGGAUAACCGCAUGAAAGUGUGGCUAAUACGGGAUAUUCUGGGUCUGUCGCAUGGUGGGCCUGGGAAAGAUUGCGCCUUUUUUGGUGUUUUUGUUGGGGGAUGGGUUCGCGGCCUAUCAGCUUGUUGGGGGGGUGAUGGCCUACCAAGGCGGUGACGGGUAGCCGGCCUGAGAGGGUGGACGGUCACGCUGGGGCUGAGACACGGCCCAGACUCCUACGGGAGGCAGCAGUGGGGAAUAUUGCACAAUGGGCGCAAGCCUGAUGCAGCGACGCCGCGUGAGGGAUGGAGGCCUUCGGGUUGUGAACCUCUUUCGCCAGUGAAGCAGGCCUGCCUCUUUUUGUGGGUGGGUUGACGGUAGCUGGAUAAGAAGCGCCGGCUAACUACGUG